rnacentral:rRNA from 1 species
UAACGACUCUCGGCAACGGAUAUCUCGGCUCUCGCAUCGAUGAAAAACGUAGCGAAAUGCGAUACUUGGUGUGAAUUGCAGAAUCCCGUGAACCAUCGAGUCUUUGAACGCAAGUUGCGCCCGAAGCCAUUAGGUCGAGGGCACGUCUGCCUGGGCGUCUCACA